rnacentral:rRNA from 1 species
UGCCAGCAGCCGCGGUAAUACGGAGGGAUCUAGCGUUAUUCGGAAUAACCGGGCGUAAAGCGAGCGUAGGCGGAUUUGUAAGUUGGAGGUGAAAUCCCAGGGCUUAACCCUGGAACUGCCUUCAAAACUACAUUUCUUGAGUUUGGUAGAGGAGAGUGGAAUUCCUAGUGUAGAGGUGAAAUUCGUAGAUAUUUGGAGGAACACCAGUGGCGAAGGCGGCUCACUGGCUCGAUACUGACGCUGAGGGACGAAAGCGUGGGGAGCGAAGAGGAUUAGAUA